UAAGGCUUUAACGGAAGUGAGCUCACACUACUCCGGAAGGGAAGGCGGGAAGAGAGCAGGCGGGUGGGUGACCCGCUGUGGGGCUGUGGGUGGGGCGGCGGCCACGGUCCUGGUAUUCACGUUUGGCUGGCCAGAGGGUGAGGGAUUCUCCCGCCCCUAGAAACCCAGCCGAGGAUCACGACCCAGUGGCGUUGGACGAAGUCGCCCCUGAACAGCUCGCCUCUGGACGAAGGAGAGGUGGCCCGGGGAGCCGGCAUCCCGCCCCCGGUGGCCUUCUUCCCGACUCUCCUCCGGUGCUGCUCGCGCCAGCCCCUGUUCCUUCUCGUGUCUGCGGCGGGAACCGCCGAGCUGGCUGGACUGAAUCCUCCCCCUUGAGAGUCGGCCAGAGGAGAAGAGCAGGGAGCGCGGUGGGUCAGCCCCGCAGCCCUGAGCACCUACAAAACUCCUCUACGGAGUUGUUCUCUCCGGCCCGCGAAGGGCAGAUGGACUUUGGAGUUAAGAUGCAGGGGAGUGAACCAGUGUCGACAAUGAAAGUCUCCGAGAGUGAAGGAAAGCUGGAGGGCCUGGCCACAGCCGUGACCCCGAAUAAGAACAGUAGCAACAGCAGCUGUGCUGGUGGAAUCAGUAGCAGCAGCAGCAGCAGCAGCCGCGGUGGCAGUGCAAAAGGCUGGCAGUAUAGCUCACAGGUCAAGUUCAAACAUAGCCCCAGAGAUGGGAGUAACCUGCCAAGAGCCAACCUGUUUACUGCAAGAACCCUGCCACACCGAGAAGCAAACACCAAAACAAGACUCCUUCCAUACUGAAUCUUUACACCUACGGAUCAUCUGUAAAUAAAAGGGGGAGAGGCUUUUCUUUGUUAGAAGCCAGACCCCUCUGGUCGACCCCUCAUGC
rnacentral:lncRNA from 1 species